UUAUUUAGAGGCCAACUCGCUGAUUGAACUACAUGGAGUCCACUUGAGGCUAUGUUGCUUCCAAGUUCCACUUAAUCUUCCGGAUUGGUUGUUUCUUUUAAUCUAUCCUAUCAGUUAUUGGAGACAACACUUCUGAAGGAUGUGAGCUACUAUAGUGUGGGUGAAUCCUUGGCGUGGUGAUAUACUGAUACCAAAGCUUCUUCAUCAAAGAACACGGACACUAAAGCUUCAAAUUGUAUAGGCUAUUUUGAAGAUGUUAACAAAGAGAAAAGUUACAAUUAUGUAUAUACUGUACUGGACUAUUGUUUUUAAAUUCAUUUAAAUUAUCUGUGGUGUAUGACACUUGAAACUUUUGACAUGAAUGUGAAUGUUUGCGGUAUUGCGAAGA